GGCUUCCAUGGCAGGGCUGGGCACAUGCAUGGAGUCGAGCUCGCCCCUCGCCUUCUACGCCGGCGGGCUCCUGGCGGGUCGGCCUGUCGCCGUCUUCCCCAUGCCCGCCCGCUCCGGGAAAGCAGUGGCACCGAGCCGAAGAUUCAUUGUGUCCAAUAGACUUGCUUGGGUUGAAGAUGAGUUAAUGGAGAUAAGAGAGUCACAAGAGCAAAGCUCUACAAGUUUAAAGAAAAGGCCACCUUUGAGGCGUGGUAAAAUCUCUCCACAACUUGUGGUGCCAGAACACAUUCCGAGACCAUCUUAUGUAGGUUCAAAUAUACCACAAGAACUAUCUAGUUUGCGUCAAGUACACAGUGCUGAAGGUAUCGUUGGUAUGAGAGCUGCUUGCAAACUUGCUGCUCGUGCUCUUGACUUUGCUGGAACUUUGGUCAAGCCAUCAGUUACUACAAAUGAAAUUGACAGGGAAGUGCACAAAAUGAUUAUUCAGGCAGGUGCUUAUCCUUCUCAACUUGGCUUUGGUGGAUUUCCUAAAAGUAUCUGCACAUCAGUAAACGAGUGUGUCUGCCAUGGAGUGCCUGAUUCAAUACAACUACAGACUGGAGACAUCAUAAAUAUUGAUGUAAACGUGUUCCUGAACGGAUACCAUGGGGGUGCUUCUAGAACAUUCGUAUGUGGAGAAGCGGAUGAAUCUAUCAAACAUUUUCUGAAGGCAGCUGAAGAAUGCUUGGAGAAGGGUAUUGCAGUCUGCAGGGAUGGUGUGAAUUACAAAAAGAUUGGCAAGAAAAUAAGCAAGCUUGCUUAUUUUUAUGGCUAUUAUGUGGUGGAGCGCUUUGUUGGACAUGGGAUCGGACCUAUUUGGCAUUCUGAACCACUAAUCCUACAUCAUGCUAACGACAACUCUGGGCGAAUGGUUGAAGGUCAGACAUUUACUAUUGAACCUAUACUUACAAUGGAAAAAACCGAGACGGUUACUUGGGAAGAUGGAUGGACUACAGUUACCGCCGACGGCAGUUGGGCUGCACAGUUUAAGCAUACUGUACUAGUCACUCGGACAGGGGCAGAAAUACUGACAAAAGUUUGACAUCACUUGUUGUUUAUGAUCAGAAGUUGUUGGACCAUCUACCUUGAGCAUGUUUUUGUCCAUACUGUUAAAGCCCCAGCCCACCAGCUAAGCAUAAAUCCUACCAAAAUGUCCCACAUUUAGCAGGAUUACAUAUCACAAGCUGAAGAGCUGAUCGACCUGACGAGUGGCACUUGUGCGAAGGGUUUGCGGAUCCUUUGAUCAUCUUUCCCUCCUACAGUAGCUGUGUGGCUGUUAAAUUUUGUGUUCCACGGGAUCGGCUACUGAUAUUGUUAGGCAUGUAAAGCGUGUAAAUAGCCUGAAUUCGUUUUGUUUCCUUGAACAUAACGCCGAAAAAUGCAGUCGCUUGCGCUGCUUUUGUCCUACUCACCUGUACUGCAGUCCAUGUUUUUUCACUCAUGUUGAUGCUUAUAAGCCAAAAUUUGAAAUUUAAAACUUAAAUUUAGAGAUAA